CUUCCCACCAGCAGUGGAAAGGCUGUGAUGGUAAUUGCUGAUAGCAGUAUCUGUCAUGAGUUCAGGACAAACUAGAUAUAUUAGCUAAAUACAGCUUCAAAGGAAAUUCAUUAAGAUUCCAAAAUAGGAGAAAAGAACCAAGAGCUGUCUGCCUUUUUAUGUUCUAUGCCCCAUGUCUUUAAGCUUGAACUUAUUUUUGUCUUAAUUUUGUAGGCACCUUUAAAAAUUAUUAUUUUUUAUUUCAUUUUUUGUUUAUUUUUGAUCUGCCUGAACCACGUAGAUUGAAAGUACAGGGACUAAUCAUAAAUCCCAUCUACUUAGAUUAUUAUGAGAAUUUUCACCUCCUCCAUUUCUAAUCUGGUCUAAUUCAUUCUUCCUAAGGAAACCUGGUCCCCUAUAUUGAGAACUCCUAAGCUCAAGAGAUGCAAGAGCCUGAGCCUUUCCAGUAGUCUGGAUUAUGAAAAAGAUCUAUCAUGUUCAACUUGAUUCUGGAUGCACUUGUUUAUUUCAUUUUUAACUUCCAUUGGCUGUUAGCCUGCAGUUUAGUACGGGCUCACAGAUCAUCAGUGCAUGAAUUAUUCCUUGAAGAUAAUCACCAAAUAGGUGACCAGUGAACGAAUGAAGCAUUGGUUGAUGAUUGCAGUGAUCUGGUCCUCUUGAAAAGCGGGUUUGCUGCAUUCAUUAAAAGCAAGAACCAUGUUUUCUAAGAUCUCUUUAAAAGGUUGGAAGAUGCAUUCCCAAAGAUGCUGCUGUUCUUUCCCCAUAACAAAUACAUGAAUGCUCCUGAAAUCCUUUGAAGAUGUGAAGUGAGAUGUGUAACAAAGUUUGGGGCAAAGCAUCUGCUGAAGAAAGGCCCUAAAGGAGAGUCUUUGAUUGCCUAUGCAUUCUAUGGAAAGGUAAACAUCCCGAGGUCCUGUGAACCUGUACAGACAGGAAAGAGAGCCAUCAUUUAUAAGAAAUAAUAAAAACAAGAAAAAAAGGAGGAAGAAGAGAAGAAAACAAAGAAGGAAUGAAGAAAGAAAGAAAGAAAGAAAGAAAGAAAGAAAGAAAGAAAGAAAGAAAGAAAGAAAGAAAGAAAGAAAGAAAAGAGAAAGAAAGAAAAAAAAUCUCAUUAAUUGUGCAAGCUGGUUAGCUAAGGAUGCAGCAUCCUGGGAAUUGCAGAAAGUGCCAGCAGCAAUAUACUUGAUUUUCUAUAAGCACAACGAGAAGUCUUAUAAAGCAUUUCUCUUCUCUAUUCCUUCCUUUUCUGUUGUAUAGAAUAAAACAAAUCACUUUACCUUUCUUUCUCAGUUUUCCAAUCUGCUAAAUAAGAGAGUUGAACUCAAUUAUCUCAAGGCAUUAUCUGAUCGUAACAUUCUUUGACAUUCACAACUAUUGUUUCAUCUUAUGGGAAGAUUUUGACAGGGAGUGUCUUUGAUUCGAAUACAGAUGUAUGAAAUAAGGAAUUCUUAUACAGCAAUAUCUUUUAAAGUAGUCACCAAAAUAUAACAAUUCAAAACUAAAAUAUUCAUAAAUCAAGCAAAUAAUAUAGAUAGGAAACUGUAAAAAACACUUUUGAUUAGGUCUUCUGGUACCAUGUAUGUUUCAAAGAACACGUUUGGUUAUUCAGUACUGGUGUGUGUCCUCUAGUGAAUACAUUCAUUUGUUCCUUAUUAUGGAAUUUCUGCGUCCCCCCCCCCACUUUAUCUGAAAUCAAACUGUUCACUUUUAAAAGUCACUUACCUAAGUUAUUUGAUCUGUCUAACAAAAGAUCUGUUUUAGAAUAUAAAUGAGUAAUUUUGAAAGCUACAGAGUGAAUUUUCAAUCCUCUCUCUCCUUCUCCUUCUCCCCUCUAUCAGUAGAUAGAGAGAAAUUGAAGAUAAAUGAGAAAGUGGGGGUGAUGGAAGUGGUAAUCUGCUGGAGAAGGUGAGAUACAAAUGAGUACAUAGAAGGGUUUGCUAUUCUAUGGAAAAAGAAGUUGGAAAAGCAACUUCUUCAUAUGAGAAACACAGUGAAGAAGAUAGUGACAGAGGAUAUCUGAGGGAUGUAAGA